CCUGAGGAUGUUCAGGAAGAAGGCUCUGCAGGUGGCCCCAGAGCCUGAGGGAAGCAGCUGCCACCUUCCCCAGGAGCAGAGCGGCCCCUCCGUCCCCGCUGGCGGGGAAGGAGCUCCCGGCCGGGCCAGGAGGUGGAAGUGCCCAGCCUUCUGGCAAGAGGAAACCCGCUCCCGGCGCAGGCACCGAGGUGGGAGAGGCACCAGCCAGGCCCAAAUGGAGCGGGCUCAGGAUGCAGCUGGGCAGGCAGGACCCAGCCCAGGAGGGGAGCCGGGCAGGGUGGCUCUGGGGCUUGUUGUGUGGGAAGCACCAGCCCCAGGAGCCCAGCCCUGAUUCCCAGCAGGAGGCAUCGCCCUGCCCGGUCACUGAGGACCUUCCAGCUCCCCAGGGCAGGAGGUGGAGGAUCCCUGUCCCAGCACCAGCAGCUCAGCCCGCUCCCCAUGGGACAGCAGCAGCGCCUGGGACGCAGGCAGCAGCGAGGCCAAUGGACGCCGCUGCUUUGUUCCAGGAUGAGGCCCAGCAGCUCAUGUUCCUGCACGCCAUCCACCCCGCGUGUCUCGCUGCACAGCAGAGAGGGCAGGACACGCUGGAGCCUCACUGCUGCAAGGCAGCUGUGGUGGAGAGGAUUGUGGGUCUCACACGAGCUCAUUGAGGAGCUGCCUGAUAAUCUCCACCCGGCGCCAUCCUCACUAAUUCCCUGAUUGCUGUGAGCAACCUCAGCCGCCUUCCCAGCUGUCUUCAAGGCCCUGAGAUCUGGCACAGCCUCCCAGACGGGAUCAUCAUGCAGCUGAGCCACUUCAGGGGGCAGUGGGGACAGGUCACCUCAUCCCAUCAAACCAAGCAGUGCUGGGUCUCAAAGAGGCUGAGAUGGAAGAGCCCCCUCCCUCAUGGAGGAAGGGGCUCCCAGAGACAUCCUCGAACCUGGACUCCUGAGAGUGUUUCCGGCAGUAGGCUCCAGUCCCUCGGGCAUGAAGAGAGCAUCAGGUAGUCUUGUUCACAUGGUAUCUCCGGUCUCCAGAUCCACUUCCUACAGCAGGGCAAACAAACCCAUCAGCUCCCAGAAUCCCAACUCUUUGACCUCCUUCUGCUCAGCUUUGGGGUUUCUCCAGCCCCCUCACCACACCUGUCAGCCUCUGAAUGAUGAGGGGCCAAAAUGUUAGAGUCACCAGAACAAGCAAACUCCAGUUCCAGGCAGUGGGGCCUGUGUGUACUUAGCCUCUCGGGAAACCAGGUCUGAAAUGGGGAGCAAGGACCCGAGCCCAGUAACAGUAGGAGUGGGCAGAGCAGGCCUGUACCAGGGUGCUUUCCCUUGGGCUGCACAGCCGGGGGCUUAGCCAAGCUGAUUACAGAAUGAGCCCUAACUGAGAGGCACCAUGUACCUCCCACUAAAGAGCCAGAUUUCAGUGGUGAUACAGCCCAGAUGAGGUCUCAACAGGAAUGAGAACGAGGUAGGAAGUUCAGAGCAUCAAGGAAAGCCUAGAGGGGAAUUUGGGAAGAGAGGUGGGAAAUGCCCAGGGGAAACUGCAGCAAAGAGAAAGGAGCAGACCGAGCUGUUGGGUACAGGGCUCUGGGCUGCUACCAGUGUCAGGGUGGGACGGCGUUCCUCUACUAGCCCCAAAGAAGGGGGCAUACACACACCUAGAGAGGGUUCUGAGCCCAGCAAUGGGGCUGCAGGCUGAGCAGGAGCCCCAGCAAUGGCAGAAGGACUUCUUUCUGUGGGAAGACCUCUUUGGACUUUUAGUGUGAGACAAGCUGGGCCCCAGAAGGGUGGA